UUGGAUUUAAGGGGUAGGCUUCGCGUCUCGGUGGGGUGGAGCGGGGCCGCGGGCGGGCGGGCGGACGGAGGGGCUGGGGCUAGCUAGGUAGCUUCGGCUUCUUCGAGGGGGAGGGGAGACUGUUGUGGCGCGCUUUUGUAUUGUGUCGGGGGGAGAGGUCAGCAUUUCCGUCGGGGGCGUUUCCGAAGCUCGCCCGCAACGGCGCGAGGCUAAACUUGGCCCUUCGCCCCCUGCUUCCGGGGGCGGAGUGGCGGUGCGGAGGCGGCGCGGCGCGCCCGGCCUCCGCCUUUGGGAUCGCUACCGCCGCAGGCACCUGCGCCGGCGCCGGCACCGGCGCGGACGAGGGGGCGGCGGGCAGCGGCGCGGGCUCCUCCGGCCGCCCCCGCUGCGCCUCGUCCGGUCCUAGGAGUAGCCCCGCGAGUUGGAAGACAGCGCGUUGGAGGGCGAAGGUGGGCGGCAGGACGCGCGCCAGAGCAGGUAGAUGGUGCCGCCGCUUCUGCGCCUGGUCCUCCUCCUCCUUCCCCGGCUCCCGGGCAGCGACCAGCCCCUACUUCCGCCUCUCCCCCUAGGGCGACUGCGGCAGCUACGCCGGCUCCUUCGGUGGAACUAAGUUCUCGAACUUCUAAGAUAUAUAUCUUUGGUUUGCUGUGUGUACAGCAGGAGUUUCAACUGACGAGAUUUUCUACUUGCGAAGUUAUGGACGUAGGUCGUAGCCAAUAGACUUGAGCUUCCCAAUGGUAGAUGAACCCCACUUCUAAACGUUUACUUCACAAAUGAGCUUAAUAUACCCGAGUUCAAUGAUCUGAACGUCUUCUUUCAUGCCAGACUACAGUUACGACUUAUGACCGAUGUGUUUUUUACACACGUAGGACUCUCCGUUAAUAAACUGACCCCCUACUACUCCUAUGCUAUAGGAAAAUGGUACAUACCUUAUCCCCUACCCAAAAGUUACCUAUGGCUACUAUAGGUAGCGUUUUUCUCUAAGUGGCUCUCCUAGAGUUUCGAACUUCUCCUCCUUUUUUUAGUCCGACUCUGGUCCUUCUCUUCUAAAAAAUGUCUUUAAGAAUUACGACGAUCCCUUAUAGUUCACGUUUGUAGCCGAUGAAUGUUUGCUUCUUUCGUUGCAUUACUACCUCAAGUCCGUACCGUACAGGCCCGCGCGGUCGCAUAGUUAGCUGAACUUUUUUCAUCCAACGUUCAAAACUUUCGUCCACUAGUUCUUCGCAUAUACGCCUACCAACUCCUCUCGUUCUUACUUGCCGAAUGCUACGAGGAACUAUUCUGUUUACUCGAAGAUCUUCCUUAACCCUUUCGACAUGUCGCUGUUUUUCUACGACUCGUACAAUCAGCAGGACUUCCCAGACUUCUGAGUCUUAGACUACUUAGGGGACUCCUCAGAGGAAGUCUACUACUACGUCUAUGUGUGCCAAGACGUUUAUGAUCAUUUAAAUUACGACGACCGGCAUCCGAACUAAGAUGACAGGUAAGGUAGCUUCUCUUCCAUUGUCUUGUUGGCAGUCGGGAACAUCCACCCCUCAACUCUGGUAUAGUCAAUCUCCCAGAGGUUACCUACGAAAGAAAUAAGUUGUUGUUAAACUUACCGUAAGACCGACUACUUUACCCAAACCCCUUUUGUUAAGUCUGGUAUCGAAACUAGCGAAUAGAAAACCUUUUCUUCCUCCAGUGUCCUGGAGUGAAUUAUCAUCGAGGGUUUCGUCAUGAUGGUUUGACCAGAUUACUCAAGUUUUGUACCCGAGGGUCAUAACCAUGUUAAGACAUACUACCAGCAGGUCUACUCUCCUUUAGAGAGUCCCUUUGUUUAAAACCUCCUGUUAAAUUACAAGACGAGUGUGUGAUACUAAACUAUGACUUUCUAUUCUUCAAGGACUUCUUCCAAGUGACCGUGAUAAACUAUCAACUACUUCCUGUAGCGAACUUUUUAGUACUUACACGAGAACGAGCGUGUGAUCAAAGGCCUAUAAACUAGGCGGCGUCUGAUGAAAACUGACCGUGAGGUUAGGUUUUAUCGGAUGUCCUCGACACCAGUAACGAGUUGAAAUAAGACGGUUUAUAAAAAUUAAGUAGACCCUUAAAACUCCUUACCAAAUUACGUGGCAAACGUACACUACAAUCGUAAUUACUACUCCUUCUUGAUAACUAGUAUGUAGCAAACGUAGUUCAAAACGCAGGUAAAAACGAGGCAUCCUUUUUUCUACUUCACCUUUUCAUAGAGGGAAGUUUUUGUGUUCAUUAUGACUUCACACUGAAAAGUCGAACCGUUUUUCGUAUGAUGCUCGUUCAGCGUUCGUUCCCUUUCCAACGGGAUCCUAGACCUGAGUUUGGUUUCCGACACCGUUUGGAUAGCUACGUCGAAUCCUUCACGACGUUAGUAGGAAUGAAUAAACAUCUCGUUAUAUUGUACAUAGUCGCGCUCCUCUAACAAUCUCGUAGUCCCUUCAAACUUAACGAGCUAGCCGAUGAAGGUUUUGACGUAUCCCGACCAGUGUCCCAAGACGAAAAAAGAGUCUACUGUUCUAACGAAUUAUAAAACCUUCAUAUAAACGUCUACAUGUUAAAGUUCAUAUACUCCGAACUACCUAGUUGCUUUUGACUUCUUGCUCCCUUUAAUAACCGUCUAAAAUUAUUCUUCCUGAGUCUCAUGAAGUAAAAAGAAGAGUCGUGUGCUCGACCUCCGGAACCUAACUUGAACGUCUGACGUCUAUGUCAAUAAUAAAAACUAUCACUAACCUUAGGAGUCUACCUAGUCGUUCGACUUCUGGCACGAGUAGCAUAUCCUGUCUUUUUACUUCACGCACAUAAACAAGAACAAUCACAACCUAGUUAACUUCUUCUCUAGAACCUAGCACGUUUUGUCUUCUACCCAUAACUACGUUUUCAAUAGGUCCGACCCAACAAGUUGUUGUGGAGGUGUCGAGUCCUAUCCUUUCGCAACGAUGUCCUCUAGAACUUCUCUCCUUGAUCAUGUGAACCUUGACUGUAGGGAUCACUCGCACUUUAUUUAGCAAACCGACGAGCUUGACUCCUUCUCAAGACCAAUAAACUCUUCUACCUACUUCUCUCCGCUGCUGCUCUUUUGAUAUUUAGGUCCGACUACGUCCCUGGACUCCAAGGUCUUACCCAAAAACUAUAGUCACUUUGGAAUCGACUCUUCGAGGAACGCCUUCUUCGGUUUUUAGGACACUAUUUGUGUUUCUCCGCUUCUUUCCUCCAACAGAUAAGCCUGAGAAUACAACUAGUUACCUACUUUAGACUGCUCCAUAUGCUUCUGUAGGGUUUCUACUGAGGUUCUCGUUUUGCCUCACGAAUAAAUAGGCUAUAUGUCCUCCAACUAAAUGUACUAUCCCGUUUUUCCGAGUUUAUAAGACUGUCGCGGCUACCGCGUCCGUUGAGUUGGACCUGUGGUCUCUUUCCUUCUCGACCUCAAAGAAGGAUGUCGUUCCUACUCUUGCUUCUGCUGUUACUGCUUCUACUUCAGUGGCGGCCACCAAACGUCGUCCCACCAUCGAAGUGGACCUUAUGGGAGUCCUCCUUUUCCAGUUCGGUGAGGUGAUUAGGCAGCAGCCUGGGAUUUCCCGCGAGCCGUAAAAUUACGGGUAGACUAUCCUCACGGUAAAUCUACGUACAGACGAAAGAAGGAACACUCCUUUUCACGAGGCUAUCUCUUUGAUUAUGUCAAAGAAGUCUUCACGUAGAUUCGAGUAGUUGAAAUCCUGAUCACGUCAUAAAAUACUUAACCAACCAUAAUUUGACAUAGAAGUAGUCUUGAGCCUUACAAAGGACUAUACAAGCUACGAAUUUAUCUUUGUUACAAGGAGUACAGUACUCCCAUCUCCAUAGAAUUAAUCAAGAUUUUCUUU
rnacentral:rRNA from 1 species